GGGAGGCAGCAGUGGGGAAUUUUGGACAAUGGGCGCAAGCCUGAUCCAGCCAUGCCGCGUGAGUGAAGAAGGCCUUCGGGUUGUAAAGCUCUUUCGCGAGGGAAGAAAUCCUCCGGGCGAACAGUCUGGGGGGAUGACGGUACCUUGAGAAGAAGCACCGGCUAACUACGUGCCAGCAGCCGCGGUAAUACGUAGGGUGCGAGCGUUAAUCGGAAUUACUGGGCGUAAAGCGUGCGCAGGCGGUUCGUCAAGUCAGAUGUGAAAUCCCCGGGCUUAACCUGGGAAUGGCGUUUGAAACUGGCGGGCUAGAGUUUGGCAGAGGGGGGUGGAAUUCCACGUGUAGCAGUGAAAUGCGUAGAGAUGUGGAGGAACACCGAUGGCGAAGGCAGCCCCCUGGGUCAAGACUGACGCUCAGGCAUGAAAGCCUGGGGAACAAACAGGUUUAGAUACCCUGAUAGUACACGCCGGUAAACGA
rnacentral:rRNA from 1 species